GGGGGCGCUUGCAGGGGAGGGGGAAAGCGAUGCCAAGAGGAGGGGGGCUACAGAGCCUGAAAAAGAGAUUGUGGAUUGAGAAUUAAUGAAAUUAACCUAAUCUUUUCCAUUCGGCAGCCCCGGCGCGGCCCCGGCCUAGCUGGGCGGGCAGCCUAAUUGCCCAGGUUAAUCUUAUUAAUACUAUUGUCCCGCCGCCGUUAACAGCUCCACCAGCGACCUCUGUGCCCCGACCCUUUUCUCUCUAUUAUGGGGUGCGAUUUCCUCUGCUUGUAGCUCAAAUUCAUUGUAGCCAAUUUUACUUUAGGACUACUUUUUACUCUCUUUCGAAAUUUGUUUGCCUUUAGGAAAUGAGGGUGUCUGUGUCCUUCCUUAAGACUGAAAUUCCACCGCCCGUCUCGCCGCCAACCCCACACCCCCCGUGAACUCUCUGCCUAACAUCCCUUGCUCUUUUCCGUCUCAUCAAAAUCUUUCGUUUUUGCGAAAGCCAAAUUUUCUCAGAGCAAAAACGACGAAAGAAGAAACGCGUCGGUCUCCGUAAAAGUUGUCUCUCUUUUUUUUUUUCUCCCCUCUCCCCCAGUCACUCUGGGUCUAAAAACUACCCUGAUCCUCCCUAGCUCCUAACACAUCAGUUGAAGACCACAUUCAACCACUAUUUAAAAUUCGCUGCCGAAAGGAGCUCUCUGAAGCGAUGUUUCCAGAGGUUUCCCGCGUGGGUGCCGCUAGCUCUCGGAAAGGCCUCUAGUCCUUCCAGGCCCACGCUGGCCUCCGUGGGACCCCAGCGGCCUGGACGAAAGUCGGACCACUGCGGGUGGCAGAUAUGAUAUGCGGGAUUCUCCGAGAGGCACCGCCAGGCCUCGGGAGGCGCAGACAGACAGAUCUGGGCGCAGGAAGCUGGGCGACCUUCAGGAAGGUAGGCGACCAUCGGCACAGAACGAAAGCAGAGGCCCGAAGCCGCGUGUUGCGGGUGCCUGCCCCGGAAUUGCUGAGUCGUCCAUCGACGCGGCUUCGCGUGGGAGCCACUCUCCAACUCUCCAGCCAAGGCCGGAGUGGAGGACCGCCUGCAGGGUCUACCCAUUUUGUGGAGAUUUCUCUCCCUCUGUCACUGAUAAGCCAGGGAUGGCUUCAAAGCUGUCUAAAAUCGAACAAUAAAUGCUAAGUGCCCCCCCUGGCACUGGUAGAGACCACCGCCCCCCCCCCCCCGUCUUGUAAAUUGUUUUUCCUGAGUUAGAGAACCUUAGCGGUAAAUUUGGUCCAGCCUGGACGCAGAACUCAGGCUGUGCGUGGGAGCAGCCACCCAGAGCUAGGAGAGUGCGCUUCGCCUCCUAGGCCUCCGCGCGUGGACCUCGGUGCCCUUCAGCCCACACGCGCAUGGCCUGGGACACUUGGCUCUUUGCUUACUUUUGCAAACUGGAGGUGGUGGUAGGGAGUUACAGGACUAGAUAGAAGCCGGCUUCAAUGGUGGGGGUUUGUUUUUGUUUUUAAGAGAAACAAUAAAGUCUCUCAGGAGUGUGA